rnacentral:lncRNA from 1 species
UUUCACGUUCAUCACAUUGGCCAUUCGGCCUUAUCUCAUAUAUACACAUUCACAUUCAUCACAUAAAAUUCUGAAUCAAAAUAUAAAUUUUCACAUAUUCACAUCACAAUUAUCCAAAUAUACUUCAUAUACCACAUAAACUUUCAUGUAUACACUUUGUCUUGGCUGAAUCUACAUCUAUCAUUUUCCAAUGAAUAAUUCAAUUUCAA